AAUCGCGUCCAGUUUCACUUCGUUCCUUGCCGGCAAGCCUCUAUCGCUGACGGGCGGGCCCUGGGGUCGUGGGUCCGUCGAUGGGGAGCCUAUAGAGAGUCUCCUCUUUUCUUCCCCAAUCUGCUGCCCCCUCUUCCCCCGACCCUCCCCCAAUCCCCGCCUCCUCUCCUCCUUCCCGGUCCGUCGCCUCUCUGGCCGUCGUCCCGUCCCCAACUGGGCUGCCCAUGUAUGGCCACUGCUCAGCGCAGCACCACCCCGUCCUCCCUCGUCAGCCGCCGCCGAUCUUCUCGCUGGGGUGGAGGAGUAGGGGAUCCCGCCAGAUCCGACCUGCAGGCAAAGGGCGACGGCGGGGGCGCUUGAUUCGAUCCUGCGCCACAGGUCCGUGCAGGAGAGAGAGGAGGGAGAAAGAGAGAGCAAAGAGGAGUGGCUGAUGACGAGUGGAGGGAGAAAGAGAGAGGAAAUAGGAGAGGGAGGCUCGGCAGCGGACGGGACAGGGUCGCCGGCCGGUGUCGGCCUGCGCCGGCGAGUUCGCUCGCCCAGCUGCCAAAUAGGGAAAGGCGACGGGACCGGCAUCCGGGGCGGCGGCGGCGGCGGGACUGCAGGAACUGGCCGAGGUGAUCCUCGCCAAACAAGCGGGCGGCAGCAAGAUUUCUUCAUUGGUUGAUUUGAUUUGGGGCUGAUUUUCCCCUGGAUUCCUUCCUCUUAUAGUUCCUUUCCAACUUGUUGUUCAUGGCUUGCUUCCCAACCACAGGUGCUCCCCACGGUGAGGAACGGACGCGCUCAACGCCUUCCUUCCCAACCAGAUAUGAGAAAGAAGAAAUAGGACCAAGAAAAUUAGUUGCUCAUAUAUUCAUGUGUCGUGCAGAGAAGAAACCGAAUGGAGAACUUGGUAUGCCGAGUAAUGUGCAGGUUGCUUUUGUCCUCUCAUCUACUGUUUGGUCUUUGUCUAUUGCUCUGCUGGCUCGUCAUCACCUUGGUUGGAGGUUGUUCUUGGUCCUGCCAUUUGUUCUUGUUAGAGCUAACUGAAAAUAUUUGUUCUCACCUAUGCUAAUGCCUUUCGGUUAAACUAGAAAUUGUUUCAUUGUUGGAAGCUUUCAUCUGCAUAUAUGCGUAAGGGGCUGUGUAUUUAUUUUGUUUCAUUCAUUUUUUGGUCUAUUUAUUUUGCACAGAAAACCAUUUGUGGUAUGCUUUGAUGGGCCUUAUUUAAUACAGUACAGACAAAAUUGGAAGUAGUAGCAAACCAGCCAUAAAUUUUUUGAGAGAACUAUGCUAACCACAAGCAAUGAUGUACUCCUGUCAUUUUGCCAUGAUAUUGUAGCCCACUUCCAAGACUCUAUGUACUAAUGUUAGCUACUUGCUUCUUUAGCUGCUCUAAUUAGGAACCAAUUCUCUGUGUGGUUUAUCCUCUUAAAAUUGUUACUAUUCACUUAGUGGGGGAGUGUAAGCAGUAGCUGAUUUUAGAGAACACUACACACCAGAGCAGGAAGACGAAGUCAGGAAGGAGAAUGCAUGUACCCUUGAGGACUGAAGAAUGAUGUUUAAUCUUGCUUUUGUCUACGCUGCUAUUCUUGGUUCAGAUCCUUACCUUCGGUUCAGUUCCAUGUAGUCUUAUGGAUAGAUGGACAAGUUGGUGAAAACUGAAAACUACCGGAUGGGUUAAUUAAUCGUUGUUGCCCCUAAUUUUGUUAAAGCUUCAUCAACACCUUACAUUUGCUUGGUAGAAAUUUAAACUGAACACCAACUUCAUUUAUGCUAUACUCGGGUGAUGGAUUCCUUCAGAUAUACAAAUUCCUCGAGCAAAGUUUACAAUGCUUUUGUGCCACUUAUGAUAUGCUUCACAAUUUUUUUGUCUUUCCUUGUGGAUCGUCCAUUUGAACUAAUAUAUAUCAAUGUAAAUAACCUUACAUUUCCUUCUCUUUCAAUCGAUUUAAGGUUCUCAUAUAUAAUGAUUACUAAUGACCAGCUGCAGCCACCGCCUAAUCUAACAUUGUUGUACUCAUGGCUUUUGGCAGCUGUGUAUUCCAUUUAGUUACCUUUGCCUAAUGCGUCCUGAUGCGAGGCAUUCUUGUUGCCCUGUACACAGCUUUGCGUUGUAUGAUUGUUACUAUUUCUCCCUGCGUUCUCUCCUUUGCAUUGUCUGACUAUUACAUGAUUAAUAGAUGAACACUCCUAUAUCGCAAUGAAAGGCAAGGACAAGCUCCUGUGACUAAAUACCUAGCAAAUCACCGUGCCUAGGAACUCUCGUCGCAAGCUCUUCACUUCGCCUUCCAAAACCAAGGGAACUACAUCAUCUGCGGCUGUGCCUAAAGAUCCUACCCAAACUGCAGAAACUGCUUUUGCUGGAGAUGUUGUUGACCCUGCAUCCAAAACAAAUGAAACUAAGCAAGAUGCUGCUGCUGCAGCUACUGAAGAUGUGAAGAAUGUGCAAUCUGAUCAGACUAAUUGAACAUAUAAACCCUGCUGGGCUACCUGCCCAGCGAGGGCACUUCCGUGCGCUGCUGCUUCAGGCCGUUUGAUAUUUUUAUCGUACUGUGUUUUUUGAUGCUGGCACUCAGUCAACCGGUCAUUCGUUUUGUACGUUUAGGCUGCCAUCUCAAAGAAAAGAAAUAACAGUUUGAGUAAGUCAUUACAAGAAAUAUGUACCAGGCAACCUCCACACAACAACCACCUCGACCCAAAGCUUAAUCUAUCUCAGGAAAAGAAAUUACAUCCUAGGGAAAAGAACAAAAUCACUAAGUACGACAGAUGAAUCCAUGUAAAAAUCCUGAAAUAGAAAAAGAGAGUUGCUGAUAGUCAGCUACCUUGGCGUUGUGCGGCCACACCCAGGUACUGUGUUUUUUGACGCUGGCACUCAGUCAACCGGUCGUUCGUUUUGUACGUUGCUGGAUGAUUUUCUAAUCACUUCAUUUUUUUUCCAGCUGAGAUCUGCUUGCAGUUUACUAAAUUGUUACCAGACUUCAAAUGUACUACCUAGCAGACUAGCAAGUGUAUAUGAUGACUCCUUUUAUCGUUGAUGAAGGAAUUGGGAUUUCUUUAAGGGAAAUGAUAACAAUGGUGUAUGAAAUGGUAAGGCAAAUGGUGUUUUUUUUCCAUUGUCAUGUUUAAUGGUAUAUUGGCAUGAAGUCAGAGCAGCACCUGAAGACUACACAAGAUAGUUUCUGGUGACCUUCAGUCUAUAUGUCUUAACCAACAGUAGCCACCUUUUGUUUCGUAUCAAUCGAUCCAGCAAGAUAUGUAUAGCCUUUAGAUUUCCAUUCGUGCAUGUGAUACUGCAUGUACACUUAGAUCUCAUUACUGUCUUUGUGGUCAAAACAAAGUUUGUGAUCACUUGUUCUACAUAUGUAAUCAACCGCCCUUCUACUAAUAUUUUCAGAAGACUA